rnacentral:rRNA from 1 species
UUCGCAAUGCCCGAAAGGGUGACGAAGCGACGCCGCGUGGGUGAGGAAGGCCUUCGGGUUGUAAAGCCCUGUCAGGGGUUAAGAAAUGUAAGUGCGCUAAUAUCGCACUUAUUUGACGAAGGCUCCAAAGGAAGCCACGGCUAACUCUGUGCCAGCAGCCGCGGUAAUACAGAGGUGGCAAGCGUUGUUCGGAAUUAUUGGGCGUAAAGAGCACGUAGGUGGGUUUGUAAGUCAGAUGUGAAAGCCUUCUGUUCAACGGAAGAAUUGCAUCUGAAACUACAAGUCUUGAGUGUAGGAGGGGAGAAUGGAACUUCUGGUGGAGCGGUGAAAUGCGUAGAUAUCAGAAGGAACGCCGGCGGCGAAAGCGAUUCUCUGGCCUAUUACUGACACUCAGUGUGCGAAAGCUAGGGGAGCAAACGGGAUUAGAUACCCCGGUAGUCCUAGCUGUAAACGAUGGGCACUAAGUAGAGGGGUUUU